AAGAUACUCCCUCCGUCCCAAAAUUUGUGUUUUAGAUUUGUCUAGAACGGAUGUACCUAAUACUAAAACAUGACUUGAUACAUCUGUAUUUAGAAAAAUCUAAGACAAGAAUUUUGGGACGGAGGGAGUAUGAU
rfam:Triticum aestivum genome assembly, contig: Triticum_aestivum_CS42_TGACv1_scaffold_328789_4BS